rnacentral:rRNA from 1 species
UACAGAGGUCUCAAGCGUUGUCCGGAAUUAUUGGGCGUAAAGAGCUUGUAGGCGGUUUGUCGCGUCUGCUGUGAAAAUCCGGGGCUCAACCCCGGACUUGCAGUGGGUACGGGCAGACUAGAGUGUGGUAGGGGAGACUGGAAUUCCUGGUGUAGCGGUGAAAUGCGCAGAUAUCAGGAGGAACACCGAUGGCGAAGGCAGGUCUCUGGGCAUUAACUGACGCUGAGGAGCGAAAGCAUGGGGAGCGAACAGG